UGGGAGCUGGUCUAACAAGGUAGGACGCCUGCCUCUGAAGCAGGACGGUGGAGGUUCGAAUCCUCCGCUCCCAGC
rnacentral:tRNA from 1 species